UACCUUGUCUCCCUCCCAGGACCGUCCAAGUGAAUGGUCCGGGGGGGUGUGUGUGCGUCAGCAUUGUUUAUGCCGACGCACCCCCGCACCGUUGUGGUGCGGAAAGGGCCAGAGAAAAAAAUUCUUCCUCCAAAAUGGCAGUCCAUGGUUGGUGAUUACUUGACUGGUACACAGUUGUAUCAAUUAAAUGCAUGUAAUCAUCAACAAGAGAAAUAUCUCUACUGCUUUUGACAGUCACUGGCUAUAAUUUUUGUUUCUGACUUUCUACUUGUUAACCAAACAAGCAUUAAAAAUGAGGAACAAAUUCUAAUUUCAAAAUGUACUUGUUGGAAGAUGAUUUCUGCAUUUUAAUAUUUUACACAUAAAGAGUUAGAGUUGUGGAGUCCCCUAAGGGUUGAGCAGGCGCUCUGUUUUUACCAACAUCAUGCGAGAAUAUGUCAGAAUGGCUGCUGACCAUAUGCCUAAAAUAUGUCAAACAUGUCAAAGCCUUUAAAAAUUAAACGUUGAAGUAGCUUUGCAAGUUUGCAAAGAUAUUGGCGAAAUAUCUUUGUACACAGAGAGGCUCUCCACUAAUUUUCCAGCUUCUAAAUCCCAACCUAUUAUAAUAAAGACCAGGAGUUUAAUCAUUAAAACUGGAUAGUUGUCAGAAUCUUGCUAAAUAGCUGUAUUCUAAAAAGUUUAGCCAUCAUCUCAACCAGUUCAGACCAAGUGUGCAUCAUUAACUUUGAUUGGUAAUUCUGUACCUGCAGACUUGGCUUAAUAUUUUGUAAAAUGGCUUGGCGUAGUUUUGGUGUCCUGUGAAGGUAAAAUGAAAUAAGCUGGUGGAGCAGAAGGCCAGCAUCUUGCAUUUGUUAGCUGUGAGGCGUAUGAUGAGCAGACUGUUCCAGAAAGGGUGCACAGUCUUUCAAUGCCAGUGUGAAUGGGUUGGAAAAUUUAUAUUGGCACCUGAACAUUUCGGGUUUAUCAUGAGAGGAGCAGCUCACAGCCUGUUUUCCCUAAAAUAGGACAGCCUGGGUUUUGAAAAGCACAUUCAGAUGUGUUACAUUGACUAUAAGAGAUAAGCUUGUUUUAUCUAGGGCAUUUCGAUGUAUCCACAAGUUCACCUGUCUUCUACAUCUAACCCCUAACCCUUUCCUGCUACCUGGUCCCUUUAUCCAGUCAGUAUGAGAUGUUUCCUGGAUGCCUGAUUGUUUUAAUUCCAAGGAGGAGAAGUGAAUAAUGGAACAUGUCUCCAAUUGAGAGCUAGGUACUAAGGAGCAGUCUACUCUCGGAAGGAGCAUUUUUAUAAAACUUCCCCGUCUUGUGAUGGACGCAGAAAGGCACAUAACGUGUAUUUUGUGGUAGCAAGAUACUAAUAAAUACCCUACUAUAUUUUAAGGUACGGUGCACAAGUCUCCAGUGGUUUCUCUAGAGAGCCUGCUGCUUGUACAUAGUGCUGUUCCACAUGUUCAGAUGUGGUAGGCUUUACUUAUCUUUACAAAGUAACAGUCAUCUUUGAGCAGAGAACUCUUUGAAGGGGAGGGCAUAGAGCACCCAAAACACAUGGUUAUGUGUGAAGUUGAAUAGUGUCUACUUUGCGACCUACUCAAACCAUUUAAGUUCCAUUUUACUCAGCUAUAACAAGCAAUUAAUGAUAUCGAUCCACUCGUUCCAGAAGAUUGACAGGCAUUGAAAAUGAAUUGGCAUUCACCCAACCCUGACAAAAAAUGCAGUUUUCAAUGUUUACUGGGGUCUUAGAAGCAACAGGCAGAACACCCUAGGGCAAUCUCACACUAUUCCCUGUUUUUAAGUGCCACUUGCCAAAUUCAUCAAAGGCGCUUUAAUGCCAUAGAACUUGAAUUCUGUUUUCACAGCAAGCUUUGAUGAAGGGGAAAGAUCACAUAAAUGUUGAAGCUAGAACUCUUUAGGACCUUGUACCUUCUAACAGGCAGUGCCGUUUUGUAAACGUGGCCUAUCUCGUACUAACAACCCAUAUUUUCUAUUGAUUUUGUUUUUGUACAGAUGUAAAUUCAAGACGUCAUGUCCUUGGGUACAUAUUUUCAUUGUAAUACAGUGUGUAUAAUAAAGUUCUGAUUUUUCUAAAGAAGCGGGGUUCCUUCUUCAAAAGUACCUUUGCGGUGCCACUGGGUUUAAUCGUGGCUGGUCUCACUGUCACAGUCUAUGAAGUGCCAUCUACGAGUAAAGGGUGGCAGGUGACGGUCUUUAUCCCUGAGGUACUGUUAGUUAUGGACAAGGCUGAAUUGGAUGAAAUGUUUAGGCAGGCAAAUUCUGUUCAGUAACAUUCGGCAUGUUGUUUAUUAAAUACCCCCCCCCCCCCAUAAAGUCUUCCCCCUUUCCUUUGCUGUUCUUUCUUCCUCUUUCCUUCCCGUCUUUCUCUAAUUAAUCCCCCUUAGUGAGGAGUGGAUUUUAUGGCAUCUUUAUAACAUACUGCCAUAUAUUUUAAUCUGUUUAGGCCUGUUAAGGGGAAGGGCAGGCUACAAAAUCAAAUUAGCAGCAUUGACCAUUUAAGCGAGGGAUCUGUUUAAUACCAGGAUGAGAAGUAUAACAGCUUACAAACUGUAGAAAUGUGGGUCCUGUCACAUGCCACGAAAUACGUUUUAGGUAAUGGUCACUUUGGAUCCAUGGAAUUGAGUUGAGUUUCUCUUAUUUCUCCAAGUUCCCAUUAGGAUUCACUAAAAUUCAUUCAAUUGUAUGGGGGGCACUGGAAUAGUGCCAGCAUGGCGUAGCGAUUAAGAGUGACGGGCUUUAAUCUGGAGAACUGGAUUCAGCUCCCCACUCCUCUACAUGAAGACUGUUGGAUAACCUUGGCCCAGUCACAGUUCUCGCAGGACUCUCAACCGACAUGGAGACAGGCAAUGACAAACCACCUCUGAAUGCCUCUUGCCUUGAAAACCCUGUGUCUUGAACACACACACAGGAACCAAAAUUAGGGGAAUUCCUGUUGUAUCCAAUUGAAUGUGGUCCCAUUACCCCAAUGCAUCAGUUUGGCCACUUGAAAGCCCUGAGCGAAAGAGGGGGGAAUGUAGAACACUGUUAACUCAGGAAGGGAAAUUUUUUUGUCAUACAAUCACUGUUGGAGUAAAUGGGUUGUCAAAUGGUAACAUAAUCUUCUUGCCUUAAAGGUGCUUCUUAAAGUUUCAACUCACCUCAGGGCAAUAGAUGGACCUGAGACAUUUAAAAACUGUACCCUGCCAAAUCAGGAUUUCCCAAAGAUGGUCCUACCAACCCACAAGAAACACUCAGACAACACUUAGUUGAGGUUGUAGCACCAGUUGGCUACAUGAAGAGCCAACAGAAGAAUGCUAUCUUGUCAAUAUCCUCACGGAUAAAGAACUGCUGCCAUUUGAUUUCAUAAUUACACUAGGAAAAUAAUUCAGCUUAGUGAAGAUAGAAUUCAGCUGAUCAAAAAUAAUCCCUCCCACCCUAGUAGUCAAAUGAGAGUUUCGAGACCAUCUCUCCCGCCCUUCCCCACUCUAUCAACACCUGUGACUGAUUCCCUCCAUAGGCCUGGUGCAAUGAUUUGGGGGAGAAAGGCACUAUCAGCUGAGAAUGUCUCCACUUUAGGAGCUACACUCAGAACAGAAAACCUGUUAGUGGGAGAAAUGUUAAACUCAGGAUGGUUAGAUUGAACUAGAAAAAUCUUCCAUUGUGUUUGAGAAGUCUAGGUACUCUGACUGAGACCAAUUCUCUAGGUUACUUAAGCACACCCUGCUCCCCUUCUGUCUGUUGCCUUCCCAGCAAAAAAACAGGUAAAAAUAAACUAGGGUAAACCGUAGUAAACUGGGAGCAUGAAAUUGUAAGUUAUAAGAACUCCAUCGUGCAGAGUUGUAAGUUGCAGUAAUGCAGUCAAAAGCUCUGCUCACAACUUGAGUUUGAUCCUGACAGACGUUGGUUUCAGGUAGUUGGUUCGAGGUUGAUCCAGCCUUUCAUAUUCCUGAGAUUGGUGAAAUUAGUACCCAGCUUGCUGGGAGCAUAGACAACCGGGGAAGGCAAUAGCAUACAACCCAUAAACAAAGUCUGCCUCGUGAACAUUGUGAUGUGUGACAUUACCCCAUGGGUCUGUAAACCUUGGACCAGGGACUGCUCUUGCACACUGCUUGCACAGGGGACUACCUUUAACUUUACCAGUCCUCAAGGAGGAAGCCAGGUAUUGGCUGAUUUUUUUUCAGCUUCAGGAAACUGAAAUCCACAGGGAAGUGUCUGAAACAACAGGCUGAAAGUCAGCUCACGGCAGGGAAAUCCCUAGAGAUUUGCAGUGGGCCCUGCAGAGGGACAUCAGGGCAUAAUGCUACUCCGCCCAGUCAUUAUCUUCAGAGGAACUGAUCUUUGUUGUAAUGCCAAGAGAUCUCCAGGCCUCACCUGGACAUGGCAUCCAGAAGCAGCAGGUUCUUCCGGGGGCAGCUGGCUGCUGAAGCAAUAUCUCUGGUGUAGGUGGAUAUAUCCAGACGGUUGGAAUUCUCCUACUUUGUGCUAGUAAUUUGAAUCCACUAAGCCCGGGAGGAUUGAAACGAAGUUAUUCAGAUGCCUGUAGUGACUCUGCCGCCCUCCCAUGUAAUAAAGUUCUUCUUGUCCCCUCCCAGCAUCUGAUCAAUCACAUGCGCUCAACAAAAACAGGAACAACAGAGGCAACAUAACAGGGAGGAGGAGCACCAGCGACAGCAACUGAAGACAUAACAGGCAUCUGCUGCUGAACCCGCUGGUCACGAAGAGGAUUCGCAACGCGUUCCCUCCAUGUCUUCCACUGUCUCAGCACACUGGCUAUCGAGCAAUUGAGCCUCUUGAAGUUUCAGACAGAAUCCAAGGUAGGUGGGACUGAGACAUGUUACAACUUUCCUUGAGAUAUUAGCUCUGGAAGUUCUAAUGAUUGAUCCUUGGCGCAAGACUGCAGAGGACCAAAACAAACUGAAUCACCCAGACCAAUUUGACUUGGACUGAAGCUGGGCUUUCACCCUCUGGUACAGUGUGGCUUUGGACCUUCUAAUUGUGAUUGUUGGCCCACCAAACCUUUUGUAUGUGAUGCACCUGAUUUGGAGCUGCGUCAUUUCCAUCCCCUCUCCAAAUACAUCCAUUAGUUUUGUUCUGUGCCCUGAAACUCCCUCCAAUCUGGCCGCAUUUCACCCAGCAAUGAACAUGCUCACCAUCAGUUUCAUGAACCUAAACAGCAACUGGUAGAACAUCUUCUCAUUUAGCGACUCCUCUACAUUCUGUUGGCUUCAACAUUCAGUACACCCUUGAGAUGUUCUACUGAUCUGGCCUUUCUGCUCAGUGGAGAAAAAGAGCAACUGCCGAAGGAUGCGUGCGGAAUGAUGAAUGUUGCUGAUUUAAUUCAAUAGAUGUCUCCUCAUACUGGAAGCUGAGAGGUCCAGCCCCAUUGCCCCAAGUUAAAGGAUGUUUAUGCUGCUUGAUACUUGUCUGGACCACAAAAUGUCAAGACCCACAAAACCUUAGUCUUGUCAUGUUGCCAAGGAGGUUGUCAUUGCCUGACUUAUGCCUGUAUUAAGAGCUAUACUAUAUAAAAUACACGAACUUAAUUAACAAUAAA